rnacentral:rRNA from 1 species
AUUGAACGCUGGCGGCAGGCCUAACGCAUGCCAGUCGAACGGUAACAGGAAGCAGCUUGCUGCUUUGCUGACGAGUGGCGGACGGGUGAGUAAUGUCUGGGAAACUGCCUGAUGGAGGGGGAUAACUACUGGAAACGGUAGCUAAUACCGCAUAACGUCGCAAGACCAAAGAGGGGGACCUUCGGGCCUCUUGCCAUCGGAUGUGCCCAGAUGGGAUUAGCUAGUAGGUGGGGUAACGGCUCACCUAGGCGACGAUCCCUAGCUGGUCUGAGAGGAUGACCAGCCACACUGGAACUGAGACACGGUCCAGACUCCUACGGGAGGCAGCAGUGGGGAAUAUUGCACAAUGGGCGCAAGCCUGAUGCAGCCAUGCCGCGUGUAUGAAGAAGGCCUUCGGGUUGUAAAGUACUUUCAGCGGGGAGGAAGGGAGUAAAGUUAAUACCUUUGCUCAUUGACGUUACCCGCAGAAGAAGCACCGGCUAACUCCGUG